GUGCCAAAAGGCAUUGCACUGCUUAUGAAAGAGCGAAUCGCAUCUCUAUCCAGAGACCUCAAACCAAUCUUUGGAGCAUCAGAUGCCAUUGCUCCGCUUGCUGCAGCUCCAGAAGCUGUUGAUCCUGCAACAGGAGCAGCUACAGGUUUUGCUCUUGCCGAAAUACCAAUACUUCCGGUGAGAGAAUCCAACAACCCACCCACUGAUGGAGAUGCACUUAUGACUAUUUCAGGUUCUGUCACAUCGCCUGUUAUGAUGUCUCCUAUCAUGUGGCCAACCAUAAAUGCCCCUGUGAUUGAUGGAAGAUUGAGCAGGAGGGGGGAUAAACUUUCAUCAGCUCCAACAGCAUUUCCACAGUCAGAUCUUUUACACAUCCUUGUAUACGUUUUUAGAUGAUCUGGUUCCACUAAAGGCAGUACAAGGAUACAGUAGUGUCCCUUUAUGUGCAAAAUAAGUGGCCACAAAACAAGUUUCUUUUCCUCUUCAUUUUUAGUGCACAAACUUAUUAUGUGACGCGUAAUCGGAUCAUCAACCCAUGAAUCUGAACCUUCAACUGACUGAUUUAUCCUAAUGCCAAAUCCACGAGCAGAUCCCUCCCUUUUCUUGCGGUCAACGAAAGCAUCAGCUAUCUCUGAAUCAGUAGGAAGAGAAGGCACCACAUUAUAUUUCAAAUCAUCCUCCAUAAAACUCUUACUCCUCUCGCAUGCCGCCCGCCACCGCUUCUCCACCACCGGAAAUCUCCGGGAGAAAACAACGGUGUCUUGAUUGGUGAGGAUCCAGAGAGCUCUGAUACAACACGAACUCGGC
rnacentral:misc_RNA from 1 species